UUCGCCCAGGAAGAGAAUGCUUUACCUCACUCACGUCUGUGCUUUUGGGGAAAUUGAGGCACGGAGCUGAGAAGGAAUUUACUCGGGAUCAGAGGACCUGUCUUAAGAUAAAACGGAAACGAAAGGACACACAGAGACAAGAUGAUGUUCGCUUUGGAGAAGGAAUCAGAGGUCAAAAGAUGAACAAUGAUUUUUACCCUUUGGAAUUGUGUAGGCUCCACAUCCAGCAUGGAACCCAACAUGGGGCCUGAAUUCAUGAUCCU